rnacentral:sRNA from 1 species
AUGUAUGUCCCUUUUGAAGCUGUGCACUUGGUCAAUAGUACCAUUUUCUCCAAUAGAGGAGGACUGUUCUUCAGGUAAGAGUAUAGGAGUGGCUGAAAACUCAUGCAUGAAUCCCCAAACAAGCUUUCAAGGUGGGAUUUCACUCUGUAACCCAGGCUGGCCUCAAAGUCACAGUAAACUACCUGUUUCAGUUC